UGGGGAAUAUUGGACAAUGGGCGAAAGCCUGAUCCAGCCAUGCCGCGUGUGUGAAGAAGGCCUUCUGGUUGUAAAGCACUUUAAGCGGGGAGGAGGCUGCCUGGAUUAAUACUCUAGGAUAGUGGACGCUACUCGCAGAAUAAGCAUCUCCUAACUCUGUGCCAGCAGCUGCGGUAAUACAGAGGGUGCGAGCGUUAAUUGUAUUUACUGGGCGUAAAGCGUGCGUAGGCGGCUUCUUAAGUCGGAUGUGAAAUCCCUGAGCUUAACUUUGGAAUUGCAGUCGAUACUGGGAAGCUAGAGUAUGGGAGAGGAUGGUAGAAUUCCAGGUGUAGCGGUGAAAUGCGUAGCUAUCGGGAGGAAAACCGAUGGCGAAGGCAGCAAUCUGGCCUAAUACUGACGCUGAGGUACGAAAGCAUGGGGAGCAAACAGG
rnacentral:rRNA from 1 species